CCUACGGGAGGCAGCAGUCGAGAAUCUUCGGCAAUGGGCGCAAGCCUGACCGAGCGACGCCGCGUGGAGGAUGAAGGCCUUCGGGUUGUAAACUCCUGUCGAGGGGGAGGAAGGCGCAAGCUUGACCGAUCCCUGGAGGAAGCACGGGCUAAGUUCGUGCCAGCAGCCGCGGUAAGACGAACCGUGCGAACGUUAUUCGGAAUCACUGGGCUUAAAGCGCGUGUAGGCGGAUCGGCGCGUCGGCGACUGAAAGCCCCCGGCUCAACCGGGGAAGCGGCGCCGAAACGGCCGGUCUGGAGGGGCGUAGGGGGACCUGGAACUUCCGGUGGAGCGGUGAAAUGCGUUGAGAUCGGAAGGAACGCCCGUGGCGAAAGCGAGGUCCUGGACGCCUGCUGACGCUGAGACGCGAAAGCCAGGGGAGCGAACGGGAUUAGAUACCCCGGUAGUC
rnacentral:rRNA from 1 species